UAUACAAAAUUAGCACUGAUAAAUGAAUGUAAUAAAAUUUCAGGAUACAAUAUCAAUAUACAGAAAUCUUGUAGUUCUGUACACUAAUAAGGAAGUAGCAGAAAGAGAAAUUAAGAAAAUAAUUGCAUUUAUAAUUGCAUCAAACAAAAAGAACAAAAUACCUAGGAAUAAACUUAACCAAGGAUGUGAAAGACUUGUACUCUGAAAAUUAUAAAAUGUUGAUGAAAGAAAUUGAAGAUGAUACAAACAAAUGAGAAGAUAUGCCAUGCUCGUGGAUUGGGAGAACCAAUAUUGUUAAAAUGUCCAAAGAAUCCAGAGAUAAUGCAGUCUCUAUCAAAAUGCCAACAACAUUUUUCAAAGAAAUAAUAAAAUAAUCCUAAAAUUUAUGUGGAACAACAAAAGAUUCCAAUUAACCAAAGCAAUCUUGAAAAAGAACAAAACCAAAAAUACUACAAUUCCCGGUUUUGAGAUAUACUACACAGCUGUAGUAAUCAAAACAGUAUGGUACUGACACAAAAAUAGACACAGAUCAUUUAAAAAAAAAAGAAAUCUCAGAAAUAAACCCACAGUUAUGUGGUCAAUUAAUUUACAACAAGAGGCAAGAAUAUGUAAUGGGAAAAAGACUAUCUCGUCAACAAAUGGUGCUGGGAAGACUGGACAGCUCUAUGCAAAAGAGUAAAAUUGCUACUUUCUUACACCAUACACAAAAGUAAACUCAAAAUCAGUUAGAGAUCUAGAUGUGAGACCUGAAACCAUAAAAUUCCUGGAAGAAAACAUAGGCAGUAAUCUCUUUGACAUCAAAUAUAGGGACAUUUUUCUAAUUUAUGCUUCCUUUGGCAAGGGAAACAAAAGUGAAAUUAAACUGUUGGGACUACACCAAAAUAAACAGUGAUGGAAACCAUCAACAAAACAAAAGGCAACCUAUUAACUGGAGAAGAUAUUUGUAAAUGAUGUAGCUGAUAAGGAGUUAAUAUCCAAAAUAUAUAAAAAACAUAUAACUCAACAUCAAAACCCCAAAUCACAAAUAAUCCAAUGUAAAAAUGUGCAGACAACAUGAACAGACUUUUUUUCCAAAAAGACAUACAGAAGGCCAACAGACACAUGAAAAGACACUCAACUUCUCUAAUCAUCAAGGAAAUGCAAAUCAAAACAAUGAGAUAUCACUUCACAGCUGUAAGCGUGGCUAAAAUCAAAAACAUGAGAAGUAACAAGUGUUGGCAAGGAUGUGGUGAAAAGCUUUAUGCAUUGUUGGUGGGAAUGGGAGCUGGUGUCACUGUGGAACACAGUAUGGAAGUUCCUUGAAAAAUUAAAAAUAGAGUUACCAAAUGAUCUAGUAAUUGCACUACUGGGUUUUUACCCAAAGAAAACAAAAAUACUAAUUUGAAAAGAUAUCUGCACUCUUAUGUUUAUUGCAGCAUUGUUUACAGUAGUCAAGAUAUAACAGCAGCCCAUGUGUCCAUCCAUAGAUGAAUGGAUAAAGAAGUGGUGUAUAUACACACAUGAACUUGCACACGCACAUACACACAGAGCUAUUACUCAGCCAUCAAAAAGAAUGAAAUCUUGCUGUUUGCAGGAACAUGGAAGUAUUUCAAGUGUAUAAUGCUAAGUGAAAUAAGUCAGAGAAAGCCAAAUGCCAUAUGAUUUCACUCAUAUGUGGAAUUUAAGACACAAAUAAAUGAACAAAGAAAAAAAGAGACCAACAAAAAACCAGAGAGCAAACUGGUGGUUUGCGAGAGGGAGGUGGGUGAGGCGAUGGGUGAAAUAGGUGAAGGAGAUUCAAGAGCACACUUAAUCAUGAUGAGCAUUGAGUAAUGUAUAGAAUUGUUGAAUCACCAUAUUGUAUAACUGAAACUAAUAUGACACUGUAUGUUAAUUAUACUUGAAUAAAAAAGAGAAAAAAAUAAAAAUAGUUACUCAGAAUGGUUAAAUGACUUGAUUAGGGUCCACUAAAGUUAGCAUUAAAUAAUAGAACAAGAAUUUGAAUUCAGAUCUUUUGACUUUAUGGUUGGAUCAUUUCCAUUAUAUUACAACUGUCACCUCCCUAAAAAAUUGCAGCAGUUAGUAUUUAUAGUUUACAGUUAAGGAAUUCUUUUGAUAACAUCUAAUUUUAUUCUUAUGCCAAUCCAAUAGAGGUUGGUAUUAUUAUGCACACUGAUCAUUUAAUACCUUAUUAAAUUAAAAAAUCUAUAUCUACAUGUUGAAUGUAGUACUGAGGUAUUCUGAAAAUAGUUAAUUUAUUAAAUGCAAGGAAUGCCUCUCCUAUUUCCUCAUUUACAUAUUUUUCCAUAGUUUUUAUGUUGUCUUCAUCUUCAUUAUUUGAUGCAUCACGUACUUCAUGCUUCUGUACAUCAUCAUGCUUUGUAGUUAUAAUACAUGUUUCUGUACUUCAACAGCUUUGUAGCUGUUUAUUCCCUGUCUCUAGUCUCUUUCUUCCUCCAAAUCAUCCUACACACAGCUGUUAGGAUUCUUUCUCAGACACUGCUUUCAUGUUUUCACUCCCACGAUCAAAAACCUGCAGUGACUCUCUGUUGCCUUUCUGAAAAAUCCAAAAAUUUUAACCAGCCUUCAGUCUUUACUGCUUUGUUAAUUCCAAUUUACUGUGUUCAUUUGUAGAUUCAUUACAACAUCUACUACAUAAUAUUUAAUCACUCUCAUUUCUCUAUUUGUUUUAAUCCCACCUAAAACACUUUAAUGUCCUCUGUACCCUUUUUUCCUACCCAUAUAUCUUUCUUUCCUUUGUGUCAUUGUGUAGAACGUUGUAGAGUACUCUAUAUAGGGAAGUCACUUGAAUGCUUUAAAAAAAAUUACAAUUAAUGUAUACAAUUUUCUAAAUAUAUAUUUAAAAUUUUAUUCUGUUAUUAUUUUUAUUUUAUGAUUUUGCCUAAUUUUUUAUGAACAAAAGGACUGGAACUAUAGUAAAUGUGCUUUGUAAAUAAUUUGCAGUAUUUUAUCGUAAUUUUUGUCAAAGUAAUAUUAACUCAUGCCUUUGAUUGUUCUGCUUCUUGUCUCCUGUCACUUCCCAACAGUUUUUUCUUGUAUACUCUGUAAAAAUAUAAAUAAUAGUGUUUGACUGUAGAUACUUAAAUAUUCUUAACAACCUGUCAUUUUAUUCUCAUGUUGGCAGCUGAUCUGUCUGCCACUCCACAUGAUGUUCCUGGUAAAGUGUAUAAUAUCUUGAAUAGGGAAACAUUUAGAAUAGUUAAGAAGUUGAAAUGUGCCCUAAGGAGAAUAGUGACAAGGGUAAAAGGGCAUUUUGGCUCCUGCUAUCAUGCUCUUAAUGUUUAAAUAAUAAUCAGAAACCAUUUGAAAGACUAAGAAGACUGCGAAGGAUUUUAUAGAACAAAGGGGAUAUUUCUUUACCGAUUUGUAAAUAGAUAGGAAGGUUUGGGAUGUCAAAGAAGCAAGAGAUGUUUAUUCCUAAAUCAAUACCACAAUGUUUUUGUUACAGACACUAACUUCUUAUCUGGUAACUUGAUUUCCUUGACUUUGUUCUUUUUUAGAAUCAUCUUGGCUAUUCUUGGGUCUUGUUUCUUCCAUUGAAGUUUAGAAUCAGCUUGCCAAGUUCUUAAAACUGUUGGGAUUUUGAUUUGCAUUGCAGUGAAUUUUAGAUUAAUUUAGAAUGGGCUUCUUUAUAGCAUUAAAUCUUAAUUUUUACAUAAGGUAUAUUUGCAUAUAAUUAUAUGUUUAACAGCUUUCAACUAAGUUUUGUAAUUUUUAAUUUUUCACCAUAAACAUUUUUGGUAGUUUUUAGUUGUCUUAUUUUUUUGUUGUUGAUACUGUAAAUGGUACUAUUUAAGAAAUAUAUUUUUUUCUGUUGCACAUGCAGUUGGCUUUAGUAUAUUGUUCCAGCAACUUAUUGAACUGUAUUAAUUUUAAUAAUUUGACUAUAAAUGUUCUUUUUUUAGUACCCAUGAAUCUACGAACAGUGACAGUUUUCUUUCUUUCAAAUCUUUUUACCAUAAAACUUUUUUUUACAUCUUCAAGAUCUUUCAUAUUUGAAAUUUUGGGGAUAAAAAUUGUCUUUAAAGACCAAAAUAAUUAAGUCUGGAGAAAUCCUUUAUUUUGUCCAUGAAAAAAAUGUGUUCUUGAGAGGUAAUGUGAUGUUUAAGGUCAACAGCUGUGUAGUAGCAGACAUAAUGCUUGAAUUCUAGUGUAGUGAUUAUAUUAUACUAUGUUGUCAAAUUCAUCAAUAUAAAUAAGUGAAAUAUUAAAGAGUAAGUGAAAGCAAUUAAUUAAAAAUAAAGAUAAAUGUUGAUAUGACCUAUGAAGCUGAAUUUUACAUGAUAAUAUACUUAAUUUAUUAUUGUAAACAAUAAUAACCUUAACAAAAUUACAGUAACUGAUCUUCAGAGCUUUUUCCUGUAAUAUGGUUUCUCUAGAGCUGUUCAUCUAUUUCAAUUUGAAGAUAACACAAAAUUAUUUUUAGGGGUACCUGGGUGGCUCAGUCAGUUAAGCAUCCGACUCUUGAUUUCGGCUCAGGUUAUGAUUUCACGGUUUGUGGGAUCGAGCCCGCAUUGGGCUCUGCACUGACAGCACAGAGCCUGCUUGGUAUUCUCUCUCUCUUCCUCUCUCUCCCUCCCUUCCUCCCCCCCCCCAAAUAAAUAAAACUUAAAAAAAAUUAUUUUCAUUUUUGUACCUCCAAUCAGGUGAACCUAUUGGUGUUUAAUAUAUAGUAAUUAUGUCAGAAUGUGCAAUAACUUGAUUUCCUGGGUAUUUGUGAUGGCCUUGUUAAAUAGUCUUGUUGGAUACUUGUUUUAAAAUCAGUUACAAACCAAUUUAAAAUCGGGUGCUUCCAAAGAUUGUGUAAAUAAUAAGGAAAUCACUCUUGAAUGGAAGACAAUUAGCACAGUAUUUAAGAGUACAAGCUGUUAGUAGAACUGUCUCUAUUUGCAGAUGACAUAACAUUAUAUAUAGAAAAUCCUAAAGACUCUACCAAAACACUGUUAGAGUUAAUAAACAAAUUCAGUAAAGGUACAGGAUAUAAAAUCAGUGUACAAAAAUCUGCUGCAUUUCUGCACACUAGUAACUGUCAGAGAAAUUAAGAAAAUCCCAUUUAUAAUUGCAUUAAAAAAUAGUAAAGUACCUAGGGAUUAAUUUAGUCACAGAGGUAAAAGACCUGUACAUUGAAAACUGUAAGACAUUAUUGAAAGAAAUUGAAAAACGCAAAUAAAUGGCAAGAUAUUCUGUGCUCAUGGAUUGGAAGAAUUAAUAUUGUUAAAAUGACCACACUACCCAAAGCAAUCUACAGAUUCAGUGCAAUCCCUAUCAAAAUUCCAAUGACAUUUUUCACGUAAGAAAAAACAAUCCUAAAAUUUUCAAGUAGACAAAGCAAUUUCGAAAAAGAAGAAAAAGGUAGAGGCAUCAUACUUCCCGAUUUAAAGUAUAGUGCAAAGCUAUAGUACUAAAAAACAUUGUGGUAUUGGUAUGAGAAUAAACACAAUCCAGUGGAACAAAAUAGCCCAGAAAGAAAUCUAUACAUAUGUGGUCAAUUAAUUUACAACAAAGAAGUGAAGAACAUAUUUCAGUUCAUUAGUGAAAGGACAUUCUCUUCAAUACAUUAUGUUAGGAACACUGAGCAGCCAUAUGCAAAAGAAUGAAACUGGAUCCACUAACUUACAUUAUUCACAAUCAUCAACUCAAAAUGAAUUAAAGACUUGAAUGUAAGACCUGAAACCAUAAAAAUUUUAGAAGAAAAUGUGUGCAGUAAACUCUUUGACAUCAGUCUUGCUGAUGAUUUUUUAAAUUUGAUACCAAAAGCAAAGGCAGCAGAAGCAAAAAUCAGCAAGUAGGACUGUAUCAAACUAAAAGCUACUCUUCAUCAAAGGAAACCAUCAGCAACAUGAAAACACAACCUACCAAAUGGGAGAAGAUAUCUGCAAGUCAUAUAUCUGAUAAGGGGUUAAUAUCCAAAAUAUAUAAAGAACCCAUGUAACUCAAUAACAAAAAAAAAAUCCAAUUAAAAAUGGGGAGAGGAUCUGAAUAGAUAUUUUCCAAAGAAAACAUACUGAUGGGAAAUAGGUAUAUGAAAAGGCCUCAGUAUUACUAAUCAGAGAAGUGCAAAUCAAAACCACAAUAUCACCUCCCACCUGUUAGAAUGACUAUUAUCAAAAAGACAAGAAAUAGCAAGUGGUAGUGAGGAUAUGGAGAAAAGAGGACUCUUAUGCACUGUUGGUAGGAAUGUAAAUUGGUACACCCACUAUGGAAAACAAUAAGUAGCUUUCUCAAAAAGUUAAAAGUAGAACUAACAUAGGAUCCAGCAAUUAGAUUUCUUGGUACUUAUCCAAAGGAAAUGAAAACACUAACUUGAAAAGAUAUCUGUACCCCCAUGUUCAUUACACUAUUAUUUACACUACUGAGAUGUGGAAACAACUAAGUGUUAAUGGAGGAAUGGAUGGAUGGAUGGAUGGAUGGAUGGAUGGAU